CGGGCUAUAGCGCAGCCUGGUAGCGCGUUCGUCUGGGGGACGAGAGGUCGCAGGUUCGAAUCCUGCUAGCCCGA
rnacentral:tRNA from 1 species